AGAGUUUGAUCCUGGCUCAGAUUGAACGCUGGCGGCAGGCUUAACACAUGCAAGUCGAGCGGUAGCACAAGGGAGCUUGCUCCCUGGGUGACGAGCGGCGGACGGGUGAGUAAUGUCUGGGAAACUGCCUGAUGGAGGGGGAUAACUACUGGAAACGGUAGCUAAUACCGCAUAACGUCGCAAGACCAAAGAGGGGGACCUUCGGGCCUCUUGCCAUCAGAUGUGCCCAGAUGGGAUUAGCUAGUAGGUGGGGUAAUGGCUCACCUAGGCGACGAUCCCUAGCUGGUCUGAGAGGAUGACCAGCCACACUGGAACUGAGACACGGUCCAGACUCCUACGGGAGGCAGCAGUGGGGAAUAUUGCACAAUGGGCGCAAGCCUGAUGCAGCCAUGCCGCGUGUGUGAAGA
rnacentral:rRNA from 1 species